UACAGAGGUCUCAAGCGUUUGUUCGGAUUCAUUGGGCGUAAAGGGUGUGUAGGUGGCGCCGUAAGUCGGGUGUGAAAUUCGGAGCUUAACUCCGAAACUGCAUUCGAUACUGCGGUGCUUGAGGACUGGAGAGGAGACUGGAAUUCAUGGUGUAGCAGUGAAAUGCGUAGAGAUCAUGAGGAAGACCAGUGGCGAAGGCGGGUCUCUGGACAGUUCCUGACGCUGAGGCACGAAGGUCAGGGGAGCAAACGGGG
rnacentral:rRNA from 1 species